rnacentral:rRNA from 1 species
UACCCGCAGCACAAGUGUUGGUCAUUAUUAUUGGGCCUAAAGCGUCCGUAGCUGGCCUGUUAGAUGCCUGGUGAAAUCGAUGCGCUCAACGUAUCGAACUCCGGGUAGACCGGCAGGCUCGAGACCGGGAGAGGUGUAGGCUACUCGCGGGGUAGGGGUAAAAUCCUGUAAUCCUGCGGGGAGGACCAGUGGCGAAGGCGCUACACUAGAACGGCUCUGACAGUGAGGGACGAAGCCCUGGGGCGCAAACCGG